UUCAGGUCACUCUUCGUUCAUGAAAAUGUCUUUUGUCUUUGAAAGAGAUCGCAUCGAAUAAAAAAAUGAAAGUUAUUUUAAUUUAUUUCACUGUCUUUCUUAAGGUACUUUUUAAGUAUUUUUUUAUGUUCUGAU